CUCCUUCGGAAAUUACUGCAAUGAAUUCAAGGCUGUGUUUACACCUCAAGUGGACUGACACCUAAAUUUGCAAUUUAUACAAUGGCUGAGUUGUUGAGUAGAAUGAAACCAAAGGGAAAAGGAACCUCACCUGUGGUGUUGGGAACUGCUGGAAGAUAAUGCAGGACAACAGAAACAUUUUUAUAUGAAAGGAA
rnacentral:lncRNA from 11 species